rnacentral:rRNA from 1 species
AAUAGAUACCCAGGUAGUCCACGCCGUAAACGAUGAGUGCUAAGUGUUAGAGGGUUUCCGCCCUUUAGUGCUGCAGCAAACGCAUUAAGCACUCCGCCUGGGGAGUACGGUCGCAAGACUGAAACUCAAAGGAAUUGACGGGGGCCCGCACAAGCGGUGGAGCAUGUGGUUUAAUUCGAAGCAACGCGAAGAACCUUACCAGGUCUUGACAUCCUUAUGACUCCUCUAGAGAUAGAGCUUUCCCUUCGGGGACAUAAGUGACAGGUGGUGCGUGGUUGUCGUCAGCUCGUGUCGUGAGAUGUUGGGUUAAGUCCCGCAACGAGCGCAACCCUUGAUCUUAGUUGCCAGCAUUCAGUUGGGCACUCUAAGGUGACUGCCGGUGACAAACCGGAGGAAGGUGGGGAUGACGUCAAAUCAUCAUGCCCCUUAUGACCUGGGCUACACACGUGCUACAAUGGAUGGUACAAAGGGUAGCGAGACCGCGAGGUUUAGCCAAUCCCAUAAAACCAUUCUCAGUUCGGAUUGCAGG